ACUCCAAAAUCCAGAACUACAAUGUUCACAGCCUUUACACAUGUUUUCAGUAAUUAUUUUCCAACAUUUAUAAUGUAUUAGAAACAAAUCUCUGAAUUUCCUUUACACAGCCUUUAUGGCAAAAACUGACCAAAUGGUAUUAUAUUCCAACAAAACCCCCAAAAAACAAAACAUUCACAUUCAGGAUGAGACCGGUUGCCUUGGAUUCCUUACAAAGAGUGAGUGAGCGUAGAGCAUGUGUGUAACUACUGGAAUGUGGGUUUGAAAGUGACACAUGACCCAAAAUCUCAACAUUUGAGUAUCAAACACUUAACCCAAUUAGACUUUGUUGUUCCCCCCCUAACCCAACACCAUCGGAGGCAAUGAGACAGGAUCUAUAUGACUCGUGGGUACACAAAGGCUCUAUUUGCAUUCUAUACAUUUACUUUGUUUAUUUCACAUACAAACAUAUGGUGUCCCUUGCCUCCAGCUAAUCACAUAUGGUGUCUUCUCUUGCUCUGGUACCUCUAAUUAUUUAUUUUACUUCUCUAUGUAUCUGUACUAUUUCUGCCUCGCAAACCCAGCAGCAGACAUUAAUCUGUGGGCGGGCAUUCGAUUUCCGUGAGCGGGCCCAAUGUGAAUGGGCGGCGCCAGCACGUGAGUGCAUUGAUCAGACUGAUUAUACAAUUAUAAGCAAAAUUCUUCCUAUCUACACGUAGCAUGCACGUCUGAAUCUGAUUCACUGAUCUGGAAACAACCAGCCCAGUCGCACAGCAGUUCGUGAAAUAGUCACAAAAUUGAAUGUAUUCUUUCGUGUACGUAAACACAAAUUACAA